UGGGGAAUUUUGGACAAUGGGCGCAAGCCUGAUCCAGCCAUGCCGCGUGCGGGAAGAAGGCCUUCGGGUUGUAAACCGCUUUUGUCAGGGAAGAAAUCUUCUGAGUUAAUACCUCGGGAGGAUGACGGUACCUGAAGAAUAAGCACCGGCUAACUACGUGCCAGCAGCCGCGGUAAUACGUAGGGUGCAAGCGUUAAUCGGAAUUACUGGGCGUAAAGCGUGCGCAGGCGGUUUUGUAAGACAGAGGUGAAAUCCCCGGGCUCAACCUGGGAACUGCCUUUGUGACUGCAAGGCUUGAGUGCGGCAGAGGGGGGAUGGAAUUCCGCGUGUAGCAGUGAAAUGCGUAGAUAUGCGGAGGAACACCGAUGGCGAAGGCAAUCCCCUGGGCCUGCACUGACGCUCAUGCACGAAAGCGUGGGGAGCAAACAGGAUUAGAUACCCUGGUAGUCCACGCCCUAAACGAUGUCAACUGGUUGUUGGGAAGGUUCCUUCUCAGUAACGUAGCUAACGCGUGAAGUUGACCGCCUGGGGAGUACGGCCGCAAGGUUGAAACUUAAAGGAAUUGACGGGGUCAUAGCUGUUU
rnacentral:rRNA from 1 species